UAUUGGCAUAAUGGACAUUAGGGUCUUAACACAGCGGCUGUUGGGUAGUAAGUACUCAGUGAAGGUUAACUAGUAGUAGUGAUGGUGGUAGUAGGAAUAGUAGUAGUUGUAGUACCACCACAGCUUCUGUGUGCCAGAUGCAGUGUUGCUUAAAAGUUGACUGACACACUCUGCCCUUGAAGAACUCAUAAAUCGUUCAAGUGUACAGGGAAUGAAUGUCACGUUCAGAACUGGGUGGCUAAAAUCAUACACAUGACCUCCAACAAAUUAUAAACUUUAUUGCCCAUACAAAGAUGUGCCCGAAAAGCAGUGGGAAAGCCACCCUUCCAAGUGAAUCUGGCCUGGACUAAGUCCUGUCUCCUUGCCCAUCUACCCCAAAGAAUGCCAGCCACUUAAAUUCAGUCAUAAACCUCUUAUUUUCUCACUAAUUGUUUUCCUGUCUGUAACUUCCUCAACAGCAGAGAGUCAGUGGUUGACUUGAAUAUUAAGGAGAACUACAUGGUGGUCGUAGUUCAUACGACUCCAAAAGUAUCGUGGUAGCUUCUGAGUCCUAACAUUCCUGAAUGAGAAUGAGUUGUUGGGUCAGGCCACCCCCAGUGUUUUCCCAAAGCAUGUCAUGGAUGGGGGUCAGACUGACAAAAUUCCCAGACGCUCUUUGGAAGAGAUGGGGGUCCUAGAAACUCCAAAGGCUGGCGACUUCUUCCAGCAGGCAAGGUGGGCCAAGAAAGUACUUCAGAGCCCUAUUAGGACUGAGGUGGGAUUUUCAUUAGGCUUCUUUGAGAGGGCGCUGACAAAGAAUGAGAAGUGAAGGGGGGCGAAACAGGAAGCAGUUUUAAAAUAAAGUGCAGUUCCUUGCUUUAACCAGUUUGACAACCUGCUUGUGUGUGUAGCACAGGGGCAUGUGGGGCGUGGCUUUCAAAUCAGUGAGCUCAAGUUUACUACAACUUCUGUGUGCACAGGGGCCAUUGAUGAAGCAUUGAGAGGAAUUGUAAGGAAUGGCCCAAAUGCUUCAGAAAGUUAUAACCUUGAUCAAAGCUGCACUCAGAAUGUGUACCCUUCCACGUCAACGCAGGACCAACCACCGCACUUCCCCCUUCCAUGACCCCAGUGUGGUGAGGGAUGCUGGACAGCGCCGGCUGGAAUUCUGGUCCUGCCCCUUGUUGGGUGAAAGUUGCAGCAGACCUGACCCAGGUCUCACUCCAACCGAAGUCUGCAGCGCAGAAGAGCAGAUCCACUUGUCACCCAGGAUGACAGAGGGAGAAGAGUUUGUCUGCCUGGGCAGCCAUAACCAAGUCCCAGGGACAUUUAGUUCUCACAGUUCUGGAGGCUGGAAGUCCAGAUCAAGGUUUGACAUGGCCCUAGUCUUGGCUUCUGAAACACGAAUCUCCAGGGAUACCCAAAAGACCACGGGUAUACAAGACUUACAUUCUUUUCCAAACAUCUACAAAAUAUUUUUGAAAUUAAGGUCAGACUUUCUGUCGGCAUAAACCCAUGUUACGCAUUCUGAACCUAACACGGAGCUUCAAAGGGAAUUCACAGGAAUGUUCUGUGUUUCUGAGCAUGUGUUUACUUAAAGGCUCCCAAGUUUUAAGAAAGGCAGACGUGACUGAACCAGCUGUAAAACUGCAGAAUCACAGGGGGAAACUUUUAAUGCAACCUUGGUAGAGAGUACAGGCUGCAAGGACAGCUGAGAACAUUAAAAACAAGGAAGGAUACUUGCAGGGGGAGGGGCAGCACCAGGCCUGUCAAACAGGAGCUGGAUGGGGAGAGUCCACGAGGAGCAGUGCGGGACCCCAUCCUCGCUCUGCACCCACACCCAACAAGCCUUGCAUCUUUAGAAGGAAAAAGUUCCUAGCGUCUUAGCCAGCUCAAAGUCCAAGUCGCGGGGACUGACUUUUGACAGUCACUGCUUCCAGUUCCCAAAGCUUCUAUUUGCUCUCUGAUGACUUUUGCUCCCGUGGUGGUGUUCUCGGGACAUUCAGUAUUAUAAUUAGGAAAUGUACUUUGGGAGAAUGAGAUUAGUGGCAUUUAUGGCAAGGCAGGUCAAAAAAUAAACGCAUUGUGUACAUUACUGGUGGCAUAAUAAAACGGCACAGGCACUCUGGAAAACAUGUUGGCGGUUUCUCAUGAAACUAAACAUGGCUGGGGCGGCUGGGUGGCUCAGUCGGUUAAGCAUCUGCCUUGGGCUCAGGUCAUGAUGCCAGAGUCCUGGGAUCGAGCCCCAUCAGGCUCCCUGUUCAGUGGGCAGCCUGCUUCUCCCUCUGCCUCUGC